UACGGGGGGGGCAAGCGUUGUUCGGAAUUACUGGGCGUAAAGGGUUCGUAGGCGGCCAACUAAGUCGGACGUGAAAUCCCCUCGGCUUAACCGGGGAACUGCGUCCGAUACUGGAUGGCUUGAGUGUGGGAGAGGGAUGCGGAAUUCCAGGUGUAGCGGUGAAAUGCGUAGAUAUCUGGAGGAACACCGGGUGGCGAAGGCGGCAUCCUGGACUACUACUGACGCUGAGGGAGCGAAAGCCAGGGGAGCAAACGGG
rnacentral:rRNA from 1 species